CCCCAUUAAAAAUACUCUAAAAGGCAUUCUACGCCUUGAAAACCCUAAGCCUACUAAACGACAACCAAUCGAUGCCGAGAAAUUCAGGGCCUUGUCUGACAUGCUAGAUACCAAACCUUUUGAAACCCACACAAAUAACACGAUCUGAACAGCCAUAUACCUGGCAUUUUAUGAGUUCAUGCGACCCAACGAACUCACCAUAGGAAACAGCAAUGACAAGUCAAAUAUGCUAUGGGUUUCACACCUAAACAAAAUAGGUGAUCACUACACACUGUCAUACAUUCCAAAACAAAUCAAGUGGGUCUGCCCCUCGACAUUCAAUAUUACCCUACCGAUAACCGUUGGUGCCCUGUACUACUGUUCGACAAAUUCAUGACAGGUUUGGCUGACCAACCCAAACAAACUCCCCUGCUCAUCAUACAUGGUCAACCCCUAACUACCUCGAAGUUCAUUAGAUAUGUAAGAUUGCUGUUCACAAGAUCGGGUAUGAUCCCGCGGCAUUCACCGGCCACUCCUUUCGUAUUGG